rnacentral:lncRNA from 1 species
AUGCUGCACCUGUGUACAUUCCCAAAGAGGUACCUUUCAGUUGUUGCAAGAAAAAGAAAGCAAAGAAGAAAAAAAUUGUGGACAUGUUCACACAUUUUCAUUACCACAAAAGUACUGAUGAAAACUGAUCAAAGCUGGGAAACGCAUCGCAGUAGCUCGAAACCCCAUCUCAAGCCAGUCCCUUAUUACCCAGUGUGGCUUCAUAUGUGCCAUUUCUCCGGUGAAACAAUUGAUACAUUCUCAGCAUGCUGUUGUGAGUAGAAAAACCUCCUAGAUUAAUGGUCAGUGUCUCACACACGCACAUUUGUGUUGUGAUGCUACGGAGGAGCUGUGAAUUACUGACAAGAUCUCGAAGAAUUCCUAAUGCUGUCGAAGGCUUCAUUUUCUCCUCGGCAUGAUGGAUGAGGCCUGAGGACUGCUUUCUGAGAUCAUUAUGUGCAUCAUUCUGUUAAGUGUUAUUAAAGUCCGUCUGUCUGAACGCAGCCGAAACAAUCUCUUGGCCCUUAUUUUGCUCGUGUUUUUAAAAAUGGUAACUGCAGAUCCCUUUCUUCCUAAUGUGAGCUUUUUUGAGAUCAUUUGACUAUUAAUUUGUGCCGUAAAAUUAUGAAGAAUUGUAUUUUUCCGUCUGCUUAAAAUUUGAUAAUAUCAAUCCAUAAAUGAAUUCUGGUUUAUUUCUAGACCUUAAAUUCACAAUAAAUGCUUUAGAAAUACAUUUUAUUAGGAAAAA